GAUGAACGCUGGCGGCAUGCUUUACACACGCAAGUCGAACGGUAACAGGCCGCAAGGUGCUGACGAGUGGCGAACGGGUGAGUAAUGCAUCGGAACGUGCCCAGUCGUGGGGGAUAACGCAGCGAAAGCUGUGCUAAUACCGCAUACGAUCUAUGGAUGAAAGCGGGGGACCGUAAGGCCUCGCGCGAUUGGAGCGGCCGAUGUCCGAUUAGGUAGUUGGUGGGGUAAAGGCUCACCAAGCCAACGAUCUGUAGCUGGUCUGAGAGGACGACCAGCCACACUGGGACUGAGACACGGCCCAGACUCCUACGGGAGGCAGCAGUGGGGAAUUUUGGACAAUGGGCGCAAGCCUGAUCCAGCAAUGCCGCGUGCAGGAAGAAGGCCUUCGGGUUGUAAACUGCUUUUGUACGGAACGAAAAGGUUUGGGUUAAUACCCUGGGCCGAUGACGGUACCGUAAGAAUAAGCACCGGCUAACUACGUGCCAGCCGCCGCCGUAA
rnacentral:rRNA from 1 species